rnacentral:rRNA from 1 species
UACGUAGGUGGCAAGCGUUAUCCGGAUUUACUGGGUGUAAAGGGCGUGUAGGCGGGGAAGCAAGUCAGAUGUGAAAACCACGGGCUCAACCUGUGGCCUGCAUUUGAAACUGUUUUUCUUGAGUGCUGGAGAGGCAAUCGGAAUUCCGUGUGUAGCGGUGAAAUGCGUAGAUAUACGGAGGAACACCAGUGGCGAAGGCGGAUUGCUGGACGGUAACUGACGCUGAGGCGCGAAAGCGUGGGGAGCAAACAGG